rnacentral:misc_RNA from 1 species
GCCGCUUUUAAAAUUUUGAAAUAGAAACUUGUAUGUUUUCCACAGACAACAUGAUGCUACCAUUUUGUAUACAUCAAGUGAAGGGGAGAGCCCUAUAAACGCAGAAAUUGAUAUAUGACAAUCCAAAAAAUUGAUAACAAAGCCUAACCAGCACCCAAGUUGUUACCGUAAAGACAAAAAGUAUCAAAAGAACCAACUUCUAAAUUAAAAGGGGAAAGACCUUGACAA